UACGGGGGGGGUAAGCGUUGUUCGGAAUUACUGGGCGUAAAGGGCUCGUAGGCGGCCAACUAAGUCGGACGUGAAAUCCCUCAGCUUAACUGGGGAACUGCGUCCGAUACUGGAUGGCUUGGAUUUGGGAGAGGGAUGCGGAAUUCCAGGUGUAGCGGUGAAAUGCGUAGAUAUCUGGAGGAACACCGGUGGCGAAGGCGGCAUCCUGGACCAAUAUUGACGCUGAGGAGCGAAAGCUAGGGGAGCGAAUGGG
rnacentral:rRNA from 1 species